UGCCGCGUGCGGGAAGAAGGCCUUCGGGUUGUAAACCGCUUUUGUCAGGGAAGAAACGGCUCCUACUAAUACUGGGGGCUAAUGACGGUACCUGAAGAAUAAGCACCGGCUAACUACGUGCCAGCAGCCGCGGUAAUACGUAGGGUGCAAGCGUUAAUCGGAAUUACUGGGCGUAAAGCGUGCGCAGGCGGCUUUGCAAGACAGAUGUGAAAUCCCCGGGCUCAACCUGGGAACUGCAUUUGUGACUGCAAGGCUAGAGUACGGUAGAGGGGGAUGGAAUUCCGCGUGUAGCAGUGAAAUGCGUAGAUAUGCGGAGGAACACCGAUGGCGAAGGCAAUCCCCUGGACCUGUACUGACGCUCAUGCACGAAAGCGUGGGGAGCAAACAGGAUUAGAUACCCUGGUAGUCCACGCCCUAAACGAUGUCAACUGGUUGUUGGACGGCUUGCUGUUCAGUAACGAAGCUAACGC
rnacentral:rRNA from 1 species